AAAAAUGACUUAUAAACUUUAGUCAGGGUAGCAUCAUAUUUAAUUUUUGACAGGAAUGAAAACGAGGCUGUGAGGAAUAGAAGCACAGUG